rnacentral:pre_miRNA from 1 species
UUAACUCAAAUUUGUAUGGAGUUGGAACGUUUGCGUACGUUUGCCGCUAGGGCCACUGUACCAAUACCAUACAAAUUUGAGUGA